rnacentral:rRNA from 1 species
ACGGAAGGCAGCAGUGGGGAAUAUUGGACAAUGGGGGAAACCCUGAUCCAGCGACGCCGCGUGAGUGAAGAAGUAUUUCGGUAUGUAAAGCUCUAUCAGCAGGGAAGAUAAUGACGGUACCUGACUAAGAAGCUCCGGCUAAAUACGUGCCAGCAGCCGCGGUAAUACGUAUGGAGCAAGCGUUAUCCGGAUUUACUGGGUGUAAAGGGUGCGUAGGUGGUAUGGCAAGUCAGAAGUGAAAACUAUGGGCUCAACCCAUAGACUGCUUUUGAAACUGUCAAACUAGAGUGCAGGAGAGGAAAGAAGAAUUCCUAGUGUAGCGGUGAAAUGCGUAGAUAUUAGGAGGAAUACCAGUGGCGAAGGCGUCUUUCUGGACUGUUACUGACACUGAGGCACGAAAGCGUGGGGAGCAAACAGGAUUAGAUACCCUGGUA